AAUAGAUACCCGGGUAGUCCACGCCGUAAACGAUGAGUGCUAAGUGUUAGGGGGUUUCCGCCCCUUAGUGCUGCAGCUAACGCAUUAAGCACUCCGCCUGGGGAGUACGGUCGCAAGACUGAAACUCAAAGGAAUUGACGGGGGCCCGCACAAGCGGUGGAGCAUGUGGUUUAAUUCGAAGCAACGCGAAGAACCUUACCAGGUCUUGACAUCCCAUUGACCACUAUGGAGACAUAGUUUUCCCUUCGGGGACAACGGUGACAGGUGGUGCAUGGUUGUCGUCAGCUCGUGUCGUGAGAUGUUGGGUUAAGUCCCGCAACGAGCGCAACCCUUGUUCUUAGUUGCCAUCAUUUAGUUGGGCACUCUAAGGAGACUGCCGGUGACAAACCGGAGGAAGGUGGGGAUGACGUCAAAUCAUCAUGCCCCUUAUGACCUGGGCUACACACGUGCUACAAUGGACGGUACAAACGGUUGCCAACCCGCGAGGGGGAGCUAAUCCGAUAAAACCGUUCUCAGUUCGGAUUGUAGGCUGCACUCGCCUACAUGAAGCC
rnacentral:rRNA from 1 species